AAACAGCUGACCAUAGAGCUACUGUAGAGCCCAGACACACCAUUGCUGUGCCCAAAGGGUUCUGUUUCUCCUAACGCAGAGAUACCGUGCAUCCAUAUUCAUUGCUGCUCUGCUCACAAAAGUCACGAAGCAGAAUCAGCUUAGAUGUUCAUCAACUGAUGGAUAGGCCAUGAGCACUCAUGUGUGCUUAGAUGAUAUCAGCUAUUUUCAUAUCUGGAGACUACGGGCACAUGCACUCUGGCACAGCGUGCUACUCAGCUGGCUGGACAUGGAUGCACACACUAAUCUCAGAACUCCACAGGAUCUCGGUGAGUUCCAGGAAGUACACAGAUGGCCUCUCCACACACACCUGCUAAUGUUGCACGAUCUCUCUUAAGAAUAUUGGGCUCGGUGCUGUGUGCUGGAAAAUGCCCUUGCACUCUCUGCCAGGCUAAGAUUGGCUUCAAGUGGCCACCUGCCUUCUCAUCUCCCUCAAAAAGCAGCUGCCUGAGGACUCCAGGAUGACAGUAAACCAGAUGCCACUCCAGCCACACCUCUCUCUGAGUGUGAGCCCAACUCCCAGCUCCCCUCUCUCUUAAAUCAUCCCAUGCCUGGAGGAAGUAGCCAGACUAGAGUCAACAACCCUAUAUCCAAGGAGUCUGGGAUGUUUGAUUGGAAGUGAGACCCCAGCCCUCUGACACCCCUAUAUCCAAGUACUCUGGGAUGUUUGGGUUGGAAGCAUCACCCCAGCCCCUAGCAUUCAUCCUUGGGGUACCAAUGGAGCACCAAUGGAGCAGAAAGCUCCACCUCUGGAAAAUCCCGCCAAGUGCUGACUCCUCCUCAGGGAAGGUCAGGAUCACUCCCACAGGCUAUUUAGGCUGCGGUUGAGAAAAAGAACACCUGGUCUUUGGGUUUUGCAUGUCCACCCCCCUGCCCCGUCUCUCUUUCCUCACCGUGUUUUCCCAGCCACCAGGGAGUGCUGCAGUAAACAUGGGCAUUGAUUUGGUCUAAUUU